GUCAGCAGCCAUAUCACCCUGUAGCCCAAGACUAACGAGUCCACUGAAGCUAAGUAGGGCUGAGCUUGGUCAGUAUCUGGAUGGGAGACCUCCGGGAAAAACUAGGUUGCUGCUGGAA
ensembl:rRNA 5S_rRNA 5S ribosomal RNA